rnacentral:lncRNA from 10 species
CUGGGCUCAAGCAGUCCUCUCACCUCAGCCUCCCAAAGUGCUGGGAUUACAGGAAUGAGCCAUCUCGCCCAGCCUAUCGUAGUUUUUAUACUUUCUUUCUUGUUUAAUUUUUUUUGUGUUUUAGGGCUCUUGGUGGUAUCGCUCAAUACGCUAUAGUGGAGACCAGAUUCUAAUACGCACAACACAGAUUUAUACAUACUUUGUUUAUAAAACCCGAAAUAUGGAUAUGAAACGUCUUAUCAUGGUUUUGGCUGGAGCUUCUGAAUUUGAUCCUCAGUAUAAUAAAGAUGCCACAAGCAGACCAACGGAUAAUAUUCUAAUACCACAGCUAAUCAGAGAAAUUGGCAGCAUUAAUUUAAAGAAGAAUGAGCCUCCACUUACCUGCCCAUAUAGCCUGAAGGCCAGAGUUCUUUUACUGUCUCAUCUUGCUAGAAUGAAAAUUCC